rnacentral:rRNA from 1 species
UACGUAGGUGGCAAGCGUUGUCCGGAUUUACUGGGCGUAAAGAGCGCGCAGGCGGUCGGAUUAGUCGCGUGUGAAAGCCCCCGGCUCAACUGGGGAGGGUCACGCGAUACUGUUCGACUCGAAGGCAGGAGAGGGAAGUGGAAUUCCCGGUGUAGUGGUGAAAUGCGUAGAUAUCUGGAGGAACACCGGUGGCGAAGGCGGCAUCCUGGACCAACACUGACGCUGAGGCGCGAAAGCCAGGGGAGCAAACGGG